AUUGAACGCUGGCGGCAGGCCUAACACAUGCAAGUCGAACGGUAACAGGAAGAAGCUUGCUUCUUUGCUGACGAGUGGCGGACGGGUGAGUAAUGUCUGGGAAACUUCCUGAUGGAGGGGGAUAACUACUGGAAACGGUAGCUAAUACCGCAUAACGUCGCAAGACCAAAGAGGGGGACCUUCGGGCUUCUUGCCAUCGGAUGUGCCCAGAUGGGAUUAGCUAGUAGGUGGGGUAACGGCUCACCUAGGCGACGAUCCCUAGCUGGUCUGAGAGGAUGACCAGCCACACUGGAACUGAGACACGGUCCAGACUCCUACGGGAGGCAGCAGUGGGGAAUAUUGCACAAUGGGCGCAAGCCUGAUGCAGCCAUGCCGCGUGUAUGAAGAAGGCCUUCGGGUUGUAAAGUACUUUCAGCGGGGAGGAAGGGAGUAAAGUUAAUACCUUUGCUCAUUGACGUUACCCGCAGAAGAAGCACCGGCUAACUCCGUG
rnacentral:rRNA from 1 species